UUUCCCCGCGCUUUAUUAACCCACCAGGACCAAGGCGCCGAGAGAGAGAGAGAGAGAGAGAGAGAGGAGCAAGCCACGACCCGGCCAAGAACUCGCCCGAGAGGAGGAGGAGGGGAUGCUUCCUGGCGUCGAGCUCGCGCGGCGGCGGCGCGUGCACUACCACGGCGACGUUGCGGCGGGGGAGCACCACCACCACGGCUCCCACGCCCAAUACCACCACCAUCCUGGAGGAGUGGCGGGGCCCGCGCUGGCGGCGCGCAUACGGCUCGAGGAGAAAUUGCGCGGCGCCGGGCCGCCGUCGCUGUCGAGGUGGAGCAGGCUAAUCCGGGAGCGAGACGGGAGAGCAACGUCCAGACAUAGAAAUCGCCAGGAACAGCAGCAGCAAGAAGAUAUCCUGGCAACCGGCGCUGAACUCUGGCCGCCGCCGCCGCCGCCACCCAAUCCAGCGAUCCUGGAGGAGGCGGCGGCGUCGACUGGCCGUCGCGCCGAGCUGCGGCGGACGCUGUCCAAGGUCGACCUCUGCGCGGUGUGCCUGGACGAGGUGCGUGAGCGGCAGCAGCGGGUGACCAGGCUGCCGUGCUCCCACAAGUACCAUUCGGAGUGCGUCCUCCCGUGGCUAGCCAUCCAGCCGGACUGCCCCUGCUGCAGGACGCUUGUGCCGUCAGUGGACACACUCUCCUAGCAAGCUGCUGGUGGUGCAGACUUGACCUGUACUCACAAAAAGAAACAAACACAAAAGGAAAGCUGGUGCUGGUGAGAUCAUUGCAUCACUAAGAACUUAAACAGACCCAAACCUUCCAGAAGUACCAACACGGAGAGUGAAAGUGAAAGAUCAGGCGCCGUCGAUUCAAGAGCCAACAUCUAGAUCUAAAGCUUCCUAUAAGGUAGAUCUUUCAACUCUGAAGAAGGGGAAAAAGUCACAGGAAUCCGGCAAAAUUGACCUGACUGGGAAACACAGGACACAGCUUCGAUCAGUCCCCAUGUUCUAGAUGAAAUUAGCCUUCAAAAUCUUCUUGGGCAGGCAGAGGCCGUCUCAGGGAGUUUAUAUGACUCAGCUCGAGAACUAGACUGGACUGUGGAGAAGCCGUCAAGUCUGAAGGUGUCAUCGUUUUCUACACAAUGUGGCUCCCGUUUUCGUUGCGCUCUUCUUCAGGUUUCCAUCCACGAAAGCAUGCCGAAUUGAUCGGUCCGGCAGUCAAUCACGAUUGGCUUCAUCAGUAUAUAAGCUGUCGCUGCGAUCAUCCUUGCGCUAAACUGCCCAAAACCAGCCAGCCAGCCAGCUGCAUCCUCUUUUUCUCGCCCUUCCAUUUAAUCUCCAAGAACACAACUCUACUUUUUAGAGAGAGAGAGAGAGAGAGAGAGAGAGAGAGAGAGAGAGAGAGAGAGAGAGAGAGAGAGAGAGAGAGAGAGAGAGA